GAGUUUGAUCAUGGCUCAGGGUGGUAGGAACAUUGAGGCUGGGGCCGCCUGAGGCUUUGGCAUGAGGCUGGGGGGCUGAGGAGAGAUGUGAAACAGUUACACCGGGGGUGAAGGUGUCAGAGAGGCCUCUCAGUUUCAGCUUGAGUCGGCAGGCAGGCCAUGGUGGUGGCUGGUGGGGAAGUCACCACUGCCCCAGGCCAGAGAGGAUUGCCUCUGAGCCAGGGAUGUCCAGGGCUGCCUCUGAGAGAGGUACAGGUGGGAGUGGACACGGGCAGGUCAACCACUGUCCCUGCCCCAUGACCCCGACACAGGUCAGAUGACCCAGAUGUGGGGGCCAGGGCAGGAGCAGUUGAGGGGCCAGGCUAUCAGCUGAGUCG
rnacentral:rRNA from 1 species